GCCAGACCCGGCUCAGUUGGUCGAGGGCCUGGGGGGAGGAAAAGGGGAGUCAGGACAGGUGAGAGGGACCCCCCAGGUGUGCCCAGGUACCCCCUGAGUGUCCCCAGGUGUGCCCAGAUGUUCCCAGGUACCCCCCAGAUGUCCCCAGGUGUGUCCCCAGAUGUGCUCCAGGUGUCCCAAGUGUUCUCCCAGGUGUCCCCA